rnacentral:rRNA from 1 species
UACAGAGGGGGCAAGCGUUGUUCGGAAUUACUGGGCGUAAAGGGCGCGUAGGUGGCCUUCUAAGUUGAACGUGAAAUCCCUGGGCUCAAUCCAGGAACUGCGUCCAAGACUGGGAGGCUUGAAUCCGGGAGAGGGAUGCGGAAUUCCAGGUGUAGCGGUGAAAUGCGUAGAUAUCUGGAGGAACACCGGUGGCGAAGGCGGCAUCCUGGACCGGUAUUGACACUGAGGCGCGAAAGCCAGGGGAGCAAACGGG